UACAGAGGGGGCAAGCGUUAUUCGGAAUUAUGGGGCGUAAAGGGCGCGUAGGCGGCCUGGCAAGUGGAAGGUGAAAUCCCUCGGCUUAACCGAGGAACUGCCCUCCAAACUGCUUGGCUUGAGUCCGGGAGAGGUGAGUGGAAUUCCCAGUGUAGCGGUGAAAUGCGUAGAUAUUGGGAGGAACACCAGUGGCGAAGGCGGCUCACUGGACCGGAACUGACGCUGAGGCGCGAAAGCGUGGGGAGCAAACGGG
rnacentral:rRNA from 1 species